rnacentral:sRNA from 1 species
UACCCUUUGAUACUUAGACUUUACCCCUUAAAAUCACUUGCCUUGCCUGCAUUGGUGAUGAGACGUGGAGUUUUGUGGUGAUGUUGGUGGUGGAGGGCCCCUUAACUCUCACUAUGAACUUAUAUCAUCUUCAGCAGCGAACUCAUUUGUGUAUAUAUAUAUACGCCAAGGCAUCUAAAGGGGGAGAUUUGUCAAAACGUUGGUAUUUCGGGUCGGCGCCCCCGGGAAGGAAAGGCAUGCUUUAUGAGCGACGCUGACUUUGGGGUUAUGGCAUAAUCCUCAGAACGAGGCGAAUGUCUUUCAACACGCUGAUUGUAUAUUGCGAUUGUAAGCUCUUCAGAGCAGAAUUUGACGAGCAGUGGUGGCCAAAACAUUAUCACUUUAUACAGAACGGAUAGGUAGGGGAUUGAAGUCGGCUUCGAUUACUGACCAAGAAGUAUUCAAAGCCAUCCAAGGUCAAGACUCUGAUCAGACUCUUCAUGUCUCAUGGCAGGCCAUUGACAAAUACUCUCAAGUGCCCAUGCUCAAUCUCGCAAAUACAGAGAAGUGUCUAGAUCUUCCUCUCCACCGAAGGAAGUCAAUGGCUAGGAAGAAAGGAUUAAAGAACCUGGGAGUCUUUCUUAAACUCAGCGGUAAUGAGAUUCUACUUGAGGAACUUUGAGAACACCUCAGCUGACCAGCAAAAAAGGGCACGCUUAGAAAGGGAAUGGAAAAAAUAUAGGAAGAGACCAUCAAGCUGCAAAGGAAGCUUGGUGAUUCAAGAGCAAUUUUGCAGGCUCUUCAAGCAAAAUCUCUCCUGACCAAGCCUAUUCUUCUUCUCUCUUAAGACAAUCCUGCCCACAUGUCAAAUCUGUGAGAAUCCACCUUGAUUAAGUCCUUAUGCAAUCCAGAACACCUCUGAAUAGCGAAUUUGAAGAAUCGUCGGGGAUAACCAACCUAGUAAAAGAACACACAAUCACGUC